CUUAAUAGUUUUUUCAUGUAUAUAUCAGCACAUUUCAAAAGUAACCCCUUUAAUUUGUUGCCAAAAAGGCUAUGAAAUUGAAGGUGGUGGCCAAGGGUUGCUCAUGUCCAUUCCAGAAGUUCUUUUUGUAUGAGAUAAGGCAAAUAAAAAGAUAAGUAGGAUUGACUAUGAACUUGUAGGGCAUGC